AAGAGGCCUCUAAUUGUGAUUAGAACUGAAAAUGUAUUAAAACCAGGAGAGAAAGAAUCAGCUUCAGGAGAGCAGGUUGUUCUACUGGAGCUAAGCCGUAUUCAACGCACAGGCUCUAAAUCUUGCUGUAGCUUACCAAGUCUCGGGUUUCAGAGCCCUGGAAGAUUAGCAGGCUAAGUGGUGGUGAGCUGUACUGUUCGCAGCGUGUUCGUUUGGCCCUUGGGAGAGAAAUCUCAGUUUAGUUCUGUUUUUGUAGUAGACUUUUACCCUUUUUCCAUCACUGUGGAUAUGAAAGUUUAUAAAUUUAUUACUAAGGUAAAUUGAACUGGGCUCUGGUUUUGUAGCAGAGGGGGAAAUGGGAGACAGCAAACAACCUGCCAUGGGUGCACAUAGACAUGUAGAAUGUCUGAGUGAAAUUUGAGGUGACUCACCAUUUUAGUGUAUUUUGUAGGCCAUGUUCCAAAAUGCCAGCUGUUAUAAUGUGCGUAACCCUCCUGUAACUGCAAUCAAGCCAGUUGCUGCUCACUAACUAUUUGAAGUUACUAUCACUGCCAUCAUGCCAGUGUUGUUCUACCAUUAUGCGGCUUUUCUCAGUCACUUAUGUCCUCUUCUAUUGGCCAUUUCACUAGUAGGGAUGAGGAGGCAUUAGAUGCCCCAGGCCUUUCCACUUCCUUAAAAUCCAGGAACUUCCCACGAACAUCUGCUCCUGCCUGUGCUUUCCUACCAGUUCCAGAGGAAAAUGUUUCAUCCCACACAUAUCAUUUAGAGAGAAAAGAAAAAGGGAAAAGGUAUUUCCUCUCUUUGUUCCUUUCUUUCCACAAUAUGAAAAAACCCAGUAACUGGGAUAGAUAACUUUUCAGGUCUCCCUUGUGCAAAGAUACCCAAGCAAACCAUCCUUAGCAGCUGCAUAGCUCUGACUUCGGUCAGCGGGGUGGCUGGCGUCUUUGACUAAAAUACAUCUUCACAGGAGUAUUUUUUUUUUUAUGCCUCCAUUAUGUAUCUUCUUCCAGUUAGAUAUACUCCAAAUGAGUACAGAUAUGUUAGAUAUAUUGCAACAGAAGAACCCUCUCCUCCUGCAGUUGAGCUGAAAACCUGGUUAGCACAGGACUUAUGUACUUUCAAUGCAUGGCUUUCCCCAGCUUCUAAUGGAUCAUUUAAAAAAAAAAAAAAAAGAAAAAAAGAAAAAAUCAGCUCUUUCUGGCACACAGUCUGGUGCCAGAGGUUAUAGCAAAUUCUAGCAAGUGGGCAGAAAUUUUCUUCCCUAAUUUUGUUCUCCUCAGGGAGCUGUGGUUUCCACGUAAACACUUCUAUGAGCAGGCCCUUUGAGACAUGCCUGGAAGAAUAUGUAUUCUGCCUAACACAUACCCACCAUAUCUUAGCAGCUAAGAAAAAUAAUUCUGUGGUCUCACUACACUUCACUACUAUCACCUCAGCCUGGCUGAGCUAAAAAUUAGAAUAAAGAACAAAGUAGUGUAGGUAUGUUGAGAGAAAGCUAUGGCUGAUAACUUCACUGUUGUUUCUGGAUUUUGUCCCAUCUUUUAUGCUAGAUUUCUAGCUUCAGGAAAUAGUGUUUGAAACCCAUGAAAUAUGGUAAAUAAGGAUAGGGAUAACAUAACCCAAUAUUCAUUCACUUGUCAUUGCAGCGUGGAACAGCAAGCAACACCAGCCUGUGACAUCCAGCGAAUUCGCUCUAAAAUUUAGAUCAUCAUUUCAAAACAUACAAAGGACUUCUUUCUUCUCUGUUUUUCUGUAGGGUCUGAUACAUUGUCUUACUAUAGAAGAUCCCCUUUGAUGUCCAUGCACGUUCCAUAAGCCAAGAGCAAUAUAGUUAGGCUCUUGGAGGACAAGGGGAAAAAAAAAUGUAAGUGUAAGUUAUUCUUGGAAAUAAUUUGGAUCCUCAGCUCCAGAUCAGAGAAUCUCUGAACCUUCCUGAGCAAACUGUUCAGUGUCUGAGCCCAGCCCAACUCUGGAUUUGCAGUUAUAAAAAGGACAGAAUCCAAAUCAUGGACCUGGAUGCUCAUAAGCUCCUGGGCAUUCAAUAUUUCUGGAUUCAAUUUUUUUAUCCUGAGCCCACUCCUAAUUAUUUAUACAAGACAUCUCUGAAUGUUUUGGUUUGGGUUUUUCCUCAUGUGUGCUCACUUAUAAUGUUGGGAUGCUAUUAAAUAUUUGUAAUGCUUACUAAGCAAAGCCCUGAGUAGUGAGUCUGGAUUGGAGCACCCAGAGAUUUCUUCCACAGAUUCCAAGCACAGGCUCAAGAAAAAAAGGCAGUUCUGGGAUUUACAAUUACAGGAUGUUUAUCUUUAAGGUGUGCACCUCCAGUAAGCAGGUUCUGAAUUCAUCUUGCACAUAAUCAUUGACAUUCUUCCCUCUCAGCAAAAUAAUUCUUUAUCCCAGUGGAACAAAGAGGGAGGCAAACAGAGCAGAAGGGUAUGCGAGUAUGUGUGGAAGAGGUUGCAGUCUGGUCACUUGGUGACUCAAGGACUGCAAAACAGAAACUGAAGCUUAGCAUGACAGGAUGGAAACAGAAGAGCUUAAUGUCCAAGGGUUGAGAUUCUGAAUGAGUUGGCGUUUUUUUUGUUGGGUUUUUUUGUUUGUUUUUCCCUUCAAACAAAGCAUUUCUCUGGGAAAGUCCACUUCCCUAGUGGAAACCCAAGCCCUAAAGUAGCUAAAAUAGCCUUUUCUCUCUCCAGUUGGUCUCUCCUUUGUGGCUUCUUGGAAAGAAGGGGUUUUGAGCAGGAAGUCAUAUUGGUUAACGGCACAGGGCAGAGCUUCCAGAGGAAAAUUCACCUACAGCCAUUUUUAAGGUUGAUAAUGAGGUCGUUUGUGGCCCUUUCUUUUUUCCCUAGAGAACAAGACCAAAAACCAGAUCCUGAUCCAAAUCCUGUAGCUCUUAGUUUUUAGACAGCCUAGCACUCCUUAUUCCCCACAAAGCCUCCAGGAGAUGCUGGGUCUCAGAAUGAUGCUACAUGCAAUAAACUUCCCAUACUUCACUAAAAUUUCCGAAGGAACCUUAGGGAACUGGACAGUUGCGUCCCACUGUUUCCCAGAACUGUUGUCUUGCUUUCAGCUUGCAAUUCUUUUCGUUUAUAGGCACGCCACAUCUGUGUCUUAUUCUUUCUGUUCAAGCAAUAUAUCUCCAUUUUCUUGUACUGCCCUAAUACGUAUUAGUAAGCAAAACGGUACGUGUGUUUUUGCAGUUGCUGCCGAUUUUAUAUCUGAACCUUGUAGUUCCAGAAAGUAUUACAACAAUCUGCAGAGCUUUAAAGAAGUAGGGUAGAUUGGGAUGUUAACACACCAAUUGGCCCCUUAUCUAUAAUCUAGGUCUUUUCUCUAGAUGCCUAUCAGUAAAGACCCGGCUCAACAGCCGUAAACUUCUACUUUCAAGCAGUGCAUGUAUCCUGCUGUGUAACAACCCUUUUGAUACUGAAGAUAUCUCCAGUCAUGUUUUCUCCACUGCCAAGCAUUGAUUGUUGACAUAAGUGUUUCAUUUAAUAAAUAUUAUCAGUGUGUAUGAGCGUGAGGGGAUGACUCAGCAGUGUCAGGGGUCACGUGGCAGCAGUCCUAACAGGAAGACAAAAGUGAUUGCUUCAUAGCGAAUAAAUCAGGCUGCAAAUCUAGAUAACUUAGAGAAACAUCAUUUUUUGCACUAAACUGUCCUGCCUCGGGGUUGCAUUAAUAAUGACAACAUAUGCAUAAGCAGCAAUUUGUCAGGACUGGCAUUUGCAUAUCCAUCUGCUAAAAGGAAGUAUACAAUGCCCAAAAUCAGGAACUGAGCCCAGAGCCAGGACACCUGGGUUCUUCUCCCAGCCCUGCUCCUGCCCUGCACAUCUUUUUCCAUCCAUCCAUGCCUCAGUUUCUCUGUCUGUGAAAUGGGCAUCAUGACAUUCACCUCUGUAAAGCAGCCUUUGGGUCUGUGUAAGUGCACUAUCCUAUCAGCCAUACCUUUUUAAAGCCUUCAUUUAGAAUCAAAAUUAUUGAAACCCACCAACUGUGCCACCUACAGCUGACUUUCCUUGGCAACCAGUUAAACACAUUAAACAUGUGACCAAAAACUCAUAGCCAGUCCUGGGGAACUCACUGUGAUCCUGUUACUUCCUUUUUUUUUUGAUGUAGAAAAUUGAUAACAGACUUCCACAGUUAAAUUCAUGAAAUCUGCUCAUCCUUGAACUGCUAUGCCAAAAAAGAUCAGCCUUUUAUAGCAAAAAUGCUGCAUGUGUAAAUACCAAAUUACACAAAUAGAAGUGUGUGCUACUGUUCCUUACUUUGGUACCCAAGGACUUUAAUUCAGCUGUUAGGCUGUCAUAACAUCUUAUCUAACACACAGAGUUUCUGUGAGGUAUAAAAAAAAAAAAUAAUGGAGACACCACAGCUUUAUAGGUGCCCACAGAUGAAGAUGAACGAUGAGACAUUUAUUCAUUCAGGAGGACCACAUGCUCAAAAAAUAAUUGCAUUUGCAUCCCUAAAAAACUUCCCUAAAGAAAUCCAAAUGUUUAAAAAUUUGUUUGUCAGCAACAGAUUGAUUUGUGGUAAGAGUCUUUUUCAGAUUCAUGAAAGGUAAGUUUGCCACGUUACUACUGGAUGAAUUCCAGGGAAUCUUAAUUUGAGGCUGGUUGAAGAAUUAAACGGUUUUUUAAUUAUUAAGCAUCUGUGUAAAUCCAGUAUAAAUCAUAAAUUCUGUCUGUUCCAUGUAAUUUUUCUAAUAGGCUUGGGUUAUAGUUACUAUUAGUUUCCAUAAUGUGUGUUGAAUAGGUGGUGUACUGUUAAGUACUGUGAAAAGUGCCCUUUCUGUUACCUGACGCAGACAGGACUGACCCCACUGCAGACCCCAAGUCUUUGAACAUUAAAAUCUGUCCUGGCUGGGAAUGCAGCGUGAGCAAAGAGCAGAGCCAAGUUAGACCUGCAGGAUUACUGUGUGCUCUUGCUGGAUGAAAAUUAUGUUUUUAAAUUGACUUUGAAAUAAAUAUUUAGCUAUAGGCCUUUGAGAGUCCUGGUUUGUUUGGGUUUAUGUUCUACACCAGCACGUCACAUUAUUUGGUAAUUCACAUCCCUUGGGGUGGCUUCCUACUUAGAGCAUUACACAAAGAAUGCAUUUUCAGGCUACAUUUCCAGUAAAUAACACUGCAGUUCCAGGAGAUGGACUAAAAUAGCAGCAUGCCUGCAGCUCAAUGCCACUUUAUUUAAGUUCAGAUCUCUCUCUAUUAUUCUGAUUACAUCCUCUUCUGUUGCUCCCCCAACACUAGGCAUCUUUGUCAGUGUCCUCUUCCUACUAGCAUCUUGGUUUUCACUAAGUUCUCCACAACUCCAUCUUUGCUUGCAGCUAUACUCUCAUCGCAUCCUGCACUCUGUGUUCCUUGAUUCAUGCUUCCAACCCUUUCCAUAGUCAUCAUCUUCCACCACCAGAUUUGCUACUGCUGUGUAAGUUCUGUCAAUGCUGCCAAAAGUCUGGAGAUACCCAGCACCUUUUCUCAGACUACUAGACAGGAACAGCCUCAAAAAAGAGAUCACUGUUAGUAAAGAACAGGACUGAACAGAUAACUUCAAGAAGUUUUAAUAAAUCCUCUAGUGGAUGCAAAAUCUUAAAACAAUGCGACAAAGACACACUUUAUGAGUUGUAGUUGCCACAUGUCCUGCAGAAUAAUGGCUUUUAUUAAUUGCAGAAGAGUUUCUACCAUGACUAACUCAUUGUUCUCGCUCUUUGUAAAUCCCUGAUUCUGGUUUUGAAUCCAAUUCAGUUUUCUCAGUCUCAGUGAGUGCCAAAGAUUGGAACUAUGCAUUGUAUAAUGCGUAUUUCCUUUAAACCUUUUCAGUGUGUUAUUUUCUAAUUCAGUUUAACAUCUUCCUCUGCAAAAGAGCUAGGAGAACUUCCUUUUUACACACUCUGCACUUCUGUCAUGUACUCGUUCACUUACUAUGUCUAAACAGUCCCAGUGUUUAUUUGGCCUUCAUAAGAGCUUCUGAAUCUCUACACUUUAUUGCUACCUGUAUACAGAUUGCUUCAAGUCAAGUUAUUGACACCCACUGCUCUCCCUUCAUCCACAAAUCCCAUAAUUUUCUCAUAGAAGACAAUCAGGUAUGAUUUACCCUCAGUAAAUCUAUGCUGACUGUUCCCAGUGACCUCGUUCAUGUACCCAGAAGUGGCUUCCAAGAGGAUGUGCCACAUGGUUUUGCCAGGGACCAAAGGGAGGCUGACCAGCCUUUAUUUUCCCAGAUCAUCCUUUUGGCCUCAUCACAGCCCAAAUCAAGAGAUAGCAGGGUCUCUACAGACCUAAUCUACAACAAGCAGAAUAACCAAUGCAGAUUUUAGCCCUCUCAGGAGGAAUUGGCCAGAAAUAUAUUGCCAAAUUAGAGGGAAAUCUGUGCUGGACAACUCAGUCAUAAAUCUGAAAAAAUAUUAGUUACAUUUGUUUAACUUGUAGACUAAAUGAGCUCUUUAGAGGUGGCCUUAUAGUUUUGCAUACAGAUACCAUACUCAGUUCAGCCAUUCUUAAAAUGCAUCAUUCUCCUCCUUUUUGUCAGCUAGCUUACGCCAGGACAGGGUGCUAACUGGCUGGCUGACAUAUCAGGGCAAGUUAGCAAUGUGUUGUAAGUGAGAAAUGUAAGAAAAAAACCUGAAUGCUGAAGAAACAUUAUUUUUGGUCUUGUUCUCUUAGUGUUUUCUGCAGUCCCUCACUUGCCACUUGAUUUUCUUCUCUCUCCUUAUUUUCCUUUCAUCCCUGAGUGUUUCUUCUCCUCUCUUCCACUGGCCUACACUGGCAGGAGGUAUCACUGAGCAGAAGAGAAGCCUCUCUCUCACGUCUGUAUAGCUUUACUACUACUCGUGUUUCUAGAGCAGUAUUUUCACUUACCCCGUAUUUCACUCUGCAGAGACAGCUUGGCCAGAACAUAGCACAUUUUCCAGUCACAGAUGUCCCUAUCGGAUUCAUGCCUGGUUCUUGGCGACGUGGUAGAAGGGAGGUUUUUUUUAUUGUACUUCAGCUAAUACAAAUGAUCCCAAGCCAAUAUAAAGCAAAUUUCUUUAUCCUCUUUGCCUCAUACUGGAAGAUCAGGUCUUUCUGACCACAUGUGUUUCCCUCAGUACUUACAUGAGGAAAGACUGAUGUUUAAUUCCAAAUAAACAAUUACUAGAUAUUCCAUUAAAGGAAAAUGACAUAAUUUUUAAUACAUUCCCUUUCAAAUAUCAAGACAUGUGGCUACAGCUCUGGUCUUACAGUAAGUGACAAAACAUAUGUUGUCAAGGUCAUAAUUUACAGUCAGAUCCUUGUGUCUAUGAAGAUUUUCCUUAAACUUCAGGGGAAUUUCCAACUGUACCACAGGUCAUCCUGCAUGAAUCCAAUUGCAAGACUGGAACCUAAGAUUAUUAUUUUUUUCCCACAAAAACUCUAGCUGACUGGUUUUAACUUCUGAAAGAGAGGGUGCAGUUCCAUUGUAGAAUCUAAGUACUCUUUAAUAAAAAUAUGUAUGUUUUCAGAAAUCAGAACACUGCAGAUCUAUUGCCAAGAAAAGAAAAGAAAAAAAAAAAACCCACUAUGAAGACAAGCACAAGGUAUUAAUAAGGUGACAUUUAAAAUACUGUUUUCUCUGAUCCGAACUGGUUGCUGAACUGGUUCCCUGCUAGUGAUGGAGUAUUCUCAUGCAGAAGUACCAGCAGCAGGUCACAACAGAGUAGCUCCGUUUACAUCAAUGCAGCCAGCAAGUACGUUUGCAGACCUACACGUUCAAAAUUUUUUAAUGCAUGGAUUUUAAAUACAAUGGGAAAAAGCAGUCACUUAGUCUGAUCAUAUCAACUUCUUUGAUCUUUUAUUUUUACUGUGUUCUUUCACUUUCCUUCUUUCCACCGUUGCCAUACAAUGGAAAAAGCUGCAGGGGGAGGAGAGAGAGAAAGGAGCAAUGGAUUUCCUUGGCUAAUCCAAUUCAAGCGCAUUCAAAGAGUUCUUCUGGUCAAGCUUGCAUAUCAAGUUUUAUCUCUAGUCAGUAUCCAGAAAGCAAUGUCCUAGUGCUCCACAGUAUAAGGGGAAUUUGAAACAGGCUUUCUGUACUUGCUGUUAUUUUUUGACAGCUUAAGAGCUAAGAUAAAGUAGAAAAGUAAAUUGGUCAGUUUGUGCACAGACACUGUUUCUAGAGAGCAACACUCCCAAGGAGAAGCAGUGGCUGCAGCAGAGGACAACCUGCAGUUGACAUCAGGGUGCUGUGCAGGCAAAAAUGGGAUGCCUGCCAGUUCUCAAACCAAAUGACAGCAAAGCCAUAGGUAUACAGUCUCUAACUUCCACAGCUGCCAGGAAAGUCUGUGUUACGUCAGUAUCAUUAUAGGUCUCCAUACCAGUCAGUAUCACAGCUCUGAUUUUAAUUGCAUCUGAAGUGAACUCAGCAGUAAAACAUCUUUGUCCUGAGUGAUGGACAACUGUUUACUUCCAGUUUUAAGUAACUCUAUAUGUACAUCACAAGAAGAAAAAGACAACACCCACCCUCACCGAUCAGUCUUUUCUGGUACGUGUGAGCAAGCAUUAUAAAGCACUACAUCAAAAACUGUCACAAAAUCUCAGUCUCAGUGAAACAGUUGUAGAGCCUAGGAAUUAGCCAUUUUCAUGUUUGUUUACCCUAGUAUCCAUUUGACUUUAAUGGAUAACCUAACAGGGAUUUUUUUUAAAAAUAUAUUUUUAUGUAUAAAUAAAAUGCAGGAUUAUCUACUUCUAGCACAGUUUGUCUCAGAAACAAUUACAGACUCUGUGGCAUCUUGCAAUCUUGGCAGCUGUACUGUCGUCUUAUAUGGGAAUAUAGAUGCAUGUUUGUCUUGAGAGCUCCCAAAUCCCUGCAUUCUCCAUAAGAAAGAAUGGGACAGGAAAUUUCUGGGUUACUGGACUCUUUGGCGCAGCUGUCUCUUUUGCUUUCACACGUAUUUCUACAGCAAGAUGAGAGCCAUCUUAAGCAAUGGAAACAGAGUCUCAUUCAGCAAUGGUUCUUUUCUCUUUUGUCUGCUCUAAAAGAGUCUGAGUGUUAGGAAGAGUAACAAGCACUGAACUUUUCCCCACAUACACAACUCACACAAAGGAAUGAAACUGGGUUGAAAUAAGAAUAUAUUUUUUUCUCUUUAAGAAAAAUAACAGUUUAAGUUCAGGUUCCUUCAAAUUAAGUUUACUAUUGGAGUCUUAAGACCAUGAUCCAGCAAAAUUUACCUGAUCUCAGUAUAAUUUUUCGUGUGCUUUUGAAGUUAAAUAUGUAUUUAAGAACUUGCUUGCUUGGGUGAUUAGGCUUGUGACAGAAGAUACAUGCGAACACCUAGAUCUCAGCUCUCAUGCCUACAGCUUUAGGUAUCAAGUGUCAAAGACACAGCCUUUACAUUCUCAAAUAUUUUGCCAUGUUCUGCAGUCCUUAAUCCUUAAGUUCAAAGAGAGCUUUCCUUGUUCAGUAACAGAACUUAAUCCAUUUUUCCUCUUACUUGUGUUCUUACACUCUCUUUUUAUUCUGUUUGACCCAUAAGAGUCUAGAAUUAUUAACUUUGCCUCAUCACAUUCCUAUUGAGCCAAAAGUAGCUAAUAAUCCACAGGGAAGUGUGAGGAAUAAGAAAGGCAAUGAUGUGUUCUGAGUGGUAUAGUGGAAUUAAACCCUCUUCCCUUCAGGUCCUGUUCUAGCUCUGGAAUGUUUUUUUCCCCUUAAUGCAGGUUCUCAUUCAGCCAUAUUUUGUGCCUUAUAUCCAAAAAAUAUAGGUAGGCAGAGGCAUGAGAAGCAGAAAAUUACGUCAGCUCACUAUUUCGCAUAAAUAUUUUGUGAGUAGAAGUUUUGGCUUUUGUUUUGUGAUAUAACCUGAGAAACAGUAGUGGCUUGCUAGAAAAGAUAAAGAAUACAUACAAAAGAAAGAGAAGAGGCAACCAAAGUGCUAAAGAUGUAACAAGACCACAGGCAUGACUUUCCUGGAAGGGCUACAAGGCUUGAACCCCUCCUCACACUGGUACCGCCGAAGCAGCUGCAACGCAACUCCACAUGAUGAAGAAACUGCGUCCUCUCCCUCCUGGCAGCAGCCACUAUCUUAAAAAGCUAAAUCUACUUCACUUCCUAUGAUACUGAACAUCAUGCAGUCCUUUGAGGUCCACCACUAGCCAUAAAUCCCAGGCAGGAAACAGUUUUCAAGCCUAGGAGGAAAGACAGCAUUUCAUUUUCUAAAGCCAGCCCUGUGUAACCAGGUCAAACAAAGUUUGGAAUUGAAGUGCUUGAAAUCCAGGAUAUAAUUGUGUAUGUUUUUCUGUUUGUUUUGUUACCGGUCAACCGGAUGCAACAAAUAAAACCAUUUUUCUUUCUUA